rnacentral:rRNA from 1 species
GACGAACGCUGGCGGCGUGCCUAAUACAUGCAAGUAGGACGCAGUUGCGCACGGGUGAGUAACGCGUAGGUAACUACCUAUUAGAGGGGGAUAACUAUUGGAAACGAUAUCUAAUACCGCAUACUAGUAGAUGGACCUGCUUUGUAUUAGCUAGUAGGUCGGGUAAUGGCCUACCUAGGCAACGAUACAUAUCAGACCGUGGAGGGGUAGCGGACAAAAGGGGACAGAGACACGGCCCAGACGCCAUCGGGAGGCAGCAGUAGGGAAUCUGCGGCAAUUGGGGGAAACCUGACCGAGCAACGCCGCGUGAGAGAAGAAGGUUUUCGGAUCGUAAAUCUCUGUUGUUAAGGAAGCGGUACUUAACCAGAAAGGGACGGCUAACUACGUGCCAGCAGCCGCGGUAAUUC